rnacentral:rRNA from 1 species
CGUUAAUUGAUCAGGACGUGCUUGCACUGAAUGAGAUUUUAACACGAAGUGAGUGGCGGACGGGUGAGUAACACGUGGGUAACCCGCCCAGAAGCAGGGGAUAACACCUGGAAACAGAUGCUAAUACCGUAUAACAGAGAAAACCGCCUGGUUUUCUUUUAAAGGAUGGCUCUGCUAUCACUUCUGGAUGGACCCGCGGCGCAUUAGCUAGUUGGUGAGGUAACGGCUCACCAAGGCGAUGAUGCGUAGCCGACCUGAGAGGGUAAUCGGCCACAUUGGGACUGAGACACGGCCCAGACUCCUACGGGAGGCAGCAGUAGGGAAUCUUCCACAAUGGACGCAAGUCUGAUGGAGCAACGCCGCGUGAGUGAAGAAGGGUUUCGGCUCGUAAAGCUCUGUUGUUAAAGAAGAACGUGGGUGAGAGUAACUGUUCACCCAGUGACGGUAUUUAACCAGAAAGCCACGGCUAACUACGUGCCAGCAGCCGCGGUAAUACGUAGGUGGCAAGCGUUAUCCGGAUUUAUUGGGCGUAAAGCGAGCGCAGGCGGUCUUUUAAGUCUAAUGUGAAAGCCUUCGGCUCAACCGAAGAAGUGCAUUGGAAACUGGGAGACUUGUGUGCAGAAGAGGACAGUGGAACUCCAUGUGUAGCGGUGAAAUGCGUAGAUAUAUGGAAGAACACCAGUGGCGAAGGCGGCUGUCUGGUCUGUAACUGACGCUGAGGCUCGAAAGCAUGGUAGCGAACAGGAUUAGAU